CCUUUGAGUUACCGCGGCGGACGGGUGAGUAACACGUGGGUAACCUACCUAUAAGACUGGGAUAACUUCGGGAAACCGGAGCUAAUACCGGAUAAUAUUUCGAACCGCAUGGUUCGAUAGUGAAAGAUGGUUUUGCUAUCACUUAUAGAUGGACCCGCGCCGUAUUAGCUAGUUGGUAAGGUAACGGCUUACCAAGGCGACGAUACGUAGCCGACCUGAGAGGGUGAUCGGCCACACUGGAACUGAGACACGGUCCAGACUCCUACGGGAGGCAGCAGCG
rnacentral:rRNA from 1 species